UCGUCAUAAAAUGAUGGGAGGAAUGUAGCUUCGCCUCGGUUGAAGUGUUAUAGCCUCUGGUAGAUGUGAUGAUCGGGAUUGAGGAUUGCAACGAAUACCUUUUAGGCUACUCGCCUGAUCUCUGAUGGUUGCUAUGGUGCCGAAAGCUUGCUUACGGUUAUCAGAGUUGAUUGUUAAAAGGUUAGAACGGGUUAAAUUCGUUAAGGAUGUUGACGUAAUGGCUUUAAACGACCCGUCUUGAAACACGG
rnacentral:rRNA from 1 species